rnacentral:rRNA from 1 species
CCCUUAGAUGUUCUGGGCCGCACGCGUGCUACACUGAACGGUUCAAUGGGUAAGGUAGUGCGAAAGCAUGACCUAAUCUCGAAAUCCGUUCGUGCUGGGGAUAGAAGCUUGCAAUUAUCCUUCUUGAACGAGGAAUACCUUGUAAGCGUGAGUCAUCAUCCCACGCUGAAUACGUCCCUGCCCUUUGUACACACCGCCCGUCGCUCCUACCGAUUGAGUGUUCCGGUGAGGCUUUGGGAGAAUGGCCUCAACAUGAGUUUAUCGUGUUUUGCCGUUUGAACUUAGUCAAACCUUAUCACUUAGAGGAAGGAGAAGUCGUAACA